GGGAUGACGUCAAAUCAUCAUGCCCCUUAUGUCUUGGGCUGCACGCAUGCUACAAUGGCUGGUACAAACGGCUGCGAUACCGCAAGGUGGAGCGAAUCCGAUAAAGCCAGUCUCAGUUCGGAUUGGGGUCUGCAACUCGACCCCAUGAAGUCGGAGUUGCUAGUAAUCGUAGAUCAGCAACGCUACGGUGAAUACGUUCCCGGGGGCUUGUACACACCGCCCGUCACGUCACGAAAG
rnacentral:rRNA from 1 species